GGCCUUGUAGUGUAGCGGUCCUAUCACUCCGGAUUCUGAUUCCGGCAACCCAGGUUCGAGUCCUGGCAAGGCCU
rnacentral:tRNA from 1 species